rnacentral:lncRNA from 1 species
CUGAAGUCCCAACUACUCAGGUGGCUGAGGUGGGAGAAUCGCUUGAACCUGGGAGGUUGAAGCUGUAGUGAGCUGUGAUCACGCCAUUACAGUCCGGCCUGGGUGACAGAGUGAUACUCUGUCUCAAAAACAAAAACAAAAAAACAACUAUUUCAGGUGUAGCAGGUUGAAUUGUGUUCCCCCAGAAGAUACAUCCGAGUCUUAACCCCAGUGGUCCUAGGAAAACUAACACAGCAGGCUUAUGCUGAUGGAGCAGAUGCAAGCCUGUGAGCCAGCACGGAUUUCCCAGGAACGUUGCUGUUCGCUAGGCCACGUGCUGGCCUCACAGCUGGUGAUGAGAAGGCGAAGACAGAGUCAGCUUAACCAAGGCACUGUGGGCUCUGUGAAAGCCUUUGGCUUCAUCUUAUGCACCAGAACAGGCCACUGAAGGGCUGUUAAGGUGAGUUCUGUGCUUUAGAAAAAGAACUUGAGAGUGUGGGGGUAGUAGGAAGAAUGGGUUGUAAUAGGGGAACUGGAGAAAUGUCAGUUAGGACAGAGUUUCAACUGGGAAGUGUUUGGCCCCCGUACUGAAUACCUUAAAAUCUUGGCCAGAACCCUGUGAUGUCUGAAGAAGAAAA